CAUUUAUUGGGUUAAAAUUGUGCGGAUCACAAGGCCCUCGUCAAAGUCCUAUAAGAAAAUGCGAAAACUGCAAAGAAGCACUUAAAAAAUUAUCUAUAAUGAAAAAAACCCAGAACAUUAAUCAAGAGAUCUGCAAAAGAUUUUCGUUUGGUUCAUUCAACUGGUGCGUAAGUAUGGUGAAAAAGGUAUCAAUGUCAUUAAGUGAAGGAAACACUUGUACUGAUCACCAUG
rnacentral:lncRNA from 1 species